rnacentral:rRNA from 1 species
GACGAACGCUGGCGGCGUGCCUAAUACAUGCAAGUAGAACGCUGAAGGAGGAGCUUGCUCUUCUGGAUGAGUUGCGAACGGGUGAGUAACGCGUAGGUAACCUGCCUGGUAGCGGGGGAUAACUAUUGGAAACGAUAGCUAAUACCGCAUAACAGUAGAUGUUGCAUGACAUUUGCUUAAAAGGUGCAAUUGCACCACUACCAGAUGGACCUGCGUUGUAUUAGCUAGUUGGUGGGGUAACGGCUCACCAAGGCGACGAUACAUAGCCGACCUGAGAGGGUGAUCGGCCACACUGGGACUGAGACACGGCCCAGACUCCUACGGGAGGCAGCAGUAGGGAAGCUUCGGCAAUGGACGGAAGUCUGACCGAGCAACGCCGCGUGAGUGAAGAAGGUUUUCGGAUCGUAAAGCUCUGUUGUAAGAGAAGAACGAGUGUGAGAGUGGAAAGUUCACACUGUGACGGUAUCUUACCAGAAAGGGACGGCUAACUACGUG